GGAGAGGUGGCCGAGUGGCUGAAGGCGCACGCUUGGAAAGCGUGUAUACCGUAAGGUAUCGAGGGUUCGAAUCCCUCCCUCUCCGCAA
rnacentral:tRNA from 1 species